UGCUACUCGUCAUGAGAAUGGAAAAAAUGGAAAUUGCAGCAGGGUAAGCCUGACGAGCAGAGGUAAAUAGUCCAGUGUGCUGUGGAUGAUCCGGCAACUCGAGUCUAGUAGUGGCUUAUAGAGAGACUGUAGCUGCUAUUUUGCUGUGAUGAAUGUAAGAUGUUUGGAGCAGUGAGCUCAUGAUGCUGAACCUGAAUGUAACUCACAGCCUCACAGGCACCAAAAUGCUGAACAUUUCUGUUCUUUUGCAAUGCAACAGAAC
rnacentral:lncRNA from 1 species